rnacentral:rRNA from 1 species
UACGCAGGGAGCAAGCGUUGUCCGGAAUCAUUGGGCGUAAAGCGCGCGUAGGUGGCCACAUAAGUCCGUUGUGAAAGUCAAAGGCUCAACCUUUGAAAGCCGAUGGAUACUGUGUGGCUAGAGUACGGAAGAGGCGAGUGGAAUUCCUGGUGUAGCGGUGGAAUGCGCAGAUAUCAGGAGGAACACCAAUAGCGAAGGCAGCUCGCUGGGACGUUACUGACACUGAGGCGCGAAAGCGUGGGGAGCGAACAGG